rnacentral:rRNA from 1 species
UACGGAGGGAGCUAGCGUUGUUCGGAAUUACUGGGCGUAAAGCGCGCGUAGGCGGCUUUGUAAGUUAGAGGUGAAAGCCCGGGGCUCAACCCCGGAAUUGCCUUUAAGACUGCAUCGCUUGAAUCCGGGAGAGGUGAGUGGAAUUCCGAGUGUAGAGGUGAAAUUCGUGGAUAUUCGGAAGAACACCAGUGGCGAAGGCGGCUCACUGGACCGGCAUUGACGCUGAGGAGCGAAAGCGUGGGGAGCGAACAGG